rnacentral:lncRNA from 12 species
GGUUAAACAAUGACAACAACCACGAAAUCCAUCAAAGAACCACAGCUACGAGCAAUAAGCCAGACUUUUUCACAAGGAAGACCUCUGUCAAUACCAGAUCAAGUCUUAAGCUGCAAUAAGAAGAGCACUGCCAGCGGGUCAAGGCAGGUCAUUCUUCCCCUUUC